UACAGAGGGGGCAAGCGUUGUUCGGAAUUACUGGGCGUAAAGGGCGCGUAGGCGGCCUGUUAAGUCGAACGUGAAAUCCCUGGGCUCAACCCAGGAACUGCGUCCGAUACUGGCAGGCUUGAAUUCGGGAGAGGGAUGCGGAAUUCCAGGUGUAGAGGUGAAAUUCGUAGAUAUUCGCAAGAACACCAGUGGCGAAGGCGGCUCACUGGCCCGGUACUGACGCUGAGGUGCGAAAGCGUGGGGAGCAAACAGG
rnacentral:rRNA from 1 species